rnacentral:tRNA from 1 species
GCGGGCGUUGUAUAGCGGCUAUUAUGCCACCCUUCCAAGGUGGAGACGCCGGUUCGACUCCGGUCGCCCGCACCA